rnacentral:rRNA from 1 species
AGAGUUUGAUCCUGGCUCAGGAUGAACGCUGGCGGCGUGCCUAACACAUGCAAGUCGAGCGAAGCAUACAGAAUGAAGUUUUCGGAUGGAUUUCUGUAUGACUGAGCGGCGGACGGGUGAGUAACGCGUGGGUAACCUGCCUUAUACAGGGGGAUAACAGUUAGAAAUGACUGCUAAUACCGCAUAAGCGCACAGUACCGCAUGGUAGUGUGUGAAAAACUCCGGUGGUAUAAGAUGGACCCGCGUCUGAUUAGCCAGUUGGCGGGGUAACGGCCCACCAAAGCGACGAUCAGUAGCCGACCUGAGAGGGUGACCGGCCACAUUGGGACUGAGACACGGCCCAAACUCCUACGGGAGGCAGCAGUGGGGAAUAUUGCACAAUGGGGGAAACCCUGAUGCAGCAACGCCGCGUGAGUGAAGAAGUAUUUCGGUAUGUAAAGCUCUAUCAGCAGGGAAGAAGAUGACGGUACCUGAUUAAGAAGCCCCGGCUAACUACGUGCCAGCAGCCGCGGUAAUACGUAGGGGGCAAGCGUUAUCCGGAUUUACUGGGUGUAAAGGGAGCGCAGACGGCAGUGCAAGUCUGGAGUGGAAGCCCGGGGCCCAACCCCGGAACUGCUCUGGAAACUGUGCGGCUAGAGUACUGGAGGGGCAGGCGGAAUUCCUAGUGUAGCGGUGAAAUGCGUAGAUAUUAGGAGGAACACCAGUGGCGAAGGCGGCCUGCUGGACAGUAACUGACGUUGAGGCUCGAAAGCGUGGGGAGCAAAUCAGGAUUAGAUACCCUGGUAGUCCACGCCGUAAACGAUGAAUGCUAGGUGUCGGGGAGCAAAGCUUCCCGGGUGCCGCGGCAAACGCAUUAAGCAUUCCUCCUGGGGAGUACGUACGCAAGAAUGGAGCUCAAAGGAAUUGGCGGGGGACCCCGCACAAGCGGUGGAGCAUGUGGUUUAAUUUGAAGCAACGCGAAGAACCUUACCAAGUCUUGACAUCCCCCUGACCGGACCGUAACGGGUCCUUCCCUUCGGGGCAGGGGAGACAGGUGGUGCAUGGUUGUCGUCAGCUCGUGUCGUAAGAUGUUGGGUUAAGUCCCGCAACGAGCGCAACCCCUGCUUACAGUAGCCAGCAGCAAGGCUGGGCACUCUGUAAGGACUGCCGGGGAUAACCCGGAGGAAGGCGGGGACGACGUCAAAUCAUCAUGCCCCUUAUGGGCUGGGCUACACACGUGCUACAAUGGCGCCAACAGAGUGAGGCGAACCUGCGAGGGGGAGCAAAGCACAAAAAAGGCGUCCCAGUUCGGAUGACAGCCUGCAACCCGGCUGUAUGAAGCUGGAAUCGCUAGUAAUCGCAGAUCAGAAUGCUGCGGUGAAU